AAGGGUGUUUCUAAUACAGACGCCUCAUGACGGUACCUGAAGAAUAUGCACCGGCUAACUACGUGCCAGCAGCCGCGGUUAUACGUAGGGUGCAAGCGUUAAUCGGAAUUACUGGGCGUAAAGCGUGCGCAGGUGGUUAUGAAAGACAGAGGUGAAAUCCCCGGGCUCAACCUGGGAACCGCCUUUGUGACUGCAUAGCUAGAGUACGGUAGAGGGGGAUGGAAUUCAGCGUGUAGCAGUGAAAUGCGUAGAUAUGCGGAGGAACACCGAUGGCGAAGGCAAUCCCCUGGACCUGUACUGACGCUCAUGCACGAAAGCGUGGGGAGCAAACAGGAUUAGAUACCCUCGUAGUCCACGCCCUAAACGAUGUCUACUGGUUGUUGGGAGGGUUUCUUCUCAGUAACGUAGCUAACGCGUGAAGUUGACCGCCUGGGGAGUACGGCCGCAAGGUUGAAACUCAAAGGAAUUGACGGGAACCCGCACAAGCGGUGGAUGAUGUGGUUUAAUUCGAUGCAACGCGAAAAACCUUACCUACCCUUGACAUAUC
rnacentral:rRNA from 1 species